rnacentral:lncRNA from 1 species
AAAAAUGUAAAAAUGGGAAAAAUCACCUUAAAAAUGGAAAUCAACAUCCUUUUGCUUCACAAAACAAAAUCAACAAACAAGAAGAACAAGUUAGAACAUUGAUUAAAGAAAUGAAAUGCAAAUUUGACCCAAAAAAAAAAAUUCCCUAAAUGAUAAAAGAAAAUGUCAAUAAAAGUGAGUACAAAUGUUAAUGGAAAAUUAUGCCAAUUAAAUAAGUACAAAAAAAAAAAAAAUAAAUGUAUCCCGAUAUCUCAGAAUGAAGGGAAAAUGGAAAGAAGUCAUUAAGCAUCAUGUAUAUUCCCAACUGCCAUUGCCACACCAACUUUUGAAAUAUUAGUUUCAGAAGCAUGAAUGUUUACUAAGGUUGAGGAUAUUGUAAUAUAAGCAUGAAUAACAAAAAUUUUGUCUACCUUAGCAUCUAGAAUGACAUAAUAAUAUGCCUUAGUAAUAAUAGGUAAGAGAAGAUUUGCCACUAGAGCUCUAGCUUCAACAACCAUCUCUUCAUGAGUAGCACAAACCUCUUAUUUUCCCUUGUAUCAAUAACCUUUUCCUCCUCUUACAUAACAAUUAUUGUAAUCUCAUUAGACCUUAAAACAAACUCUUAAUCAUCAUCAUUAGGAGUAGAAUCAUCCUCAACCACUAAGAAAAAAUUUGUCUUCCUCAGGUACUUGUUCCCGAACAUUUUCUUCAUCUUCGUUUUCUUCUCUCAGUAUCUUCUUCAAAUAAAAUGGUUACCUAAAUUUUAGUAAGAGAAGUUUGAGAACCAUCCAUAAUUAUAACAAAUGUAAAUCUAAUAAACAUCUAUUGAAUUUGAGUUCUACUCACUUAAGAAUAUCAUUUGGGCUUGAAACAACUUUUAGAAUGCUGACAUUUUAAACACUCCAAGCUGAGAAUAAGAAAUACUAGUGUUUAUUCAAUAAAAGAAAAUAGAGGAUAUAUUAUUGAUUGCAAUAUUAAUAAUAAACUAAGAUACAUAAUAAAGCCUAGUUAUGCGUGUCUUACAUAACUAUUUUAGGUUGCAAAUCAUUUUUGUAUUCUAAUACAACAUAGGUAUGAGAAGAAUUGUUGUUAUCACUCUUCACUUGAACAACAAAGAAAAUAAAAAAAAUAAAAAACACAUGUCCUUACACCUUUUUCAAAAUCAUGAUAAACAAGAAAUAGAUAAUGUCCUAAAGAAGAUGACAAAGAAAGUAAUCUCAUAACAUAUUAAAGUAUAACAUCAAAUUUGCAUCAAACUUGUGCUAGACCUAAAAUAUUUUAUUUAUUUGUAUUUUUGGCGUUUGUUCCCUUGUAGUCUAUACCUAAUUGAAAAAACUUGCCAAAUUGAUUAUCAUAAAUCUUUUUCAAUAGCUGAUAUAAAUCUUAAAAAAAGGGGGAAAUAUAAUGUAUAUAUAUAUUUUUUUGGGAGAGAAUUGUCAUAAAAUCCUGUUCAACAAAAGAAUUCAGAUGUUGCAUGCGCUAGAUUAACCAUGUGACAGAACAAAGAAAAAAAGGGAAAAAACUGAUAACACAACAAAUGAGAUAUUCAAAUCAUUAAAUUGAGAAACCAAAGGUUGAAUGAUCAACUAGUGUCAAACAAUGAAUAAUACAACCAAGUGGGUACAUGUGAACAUGGACGAUGUCAUGUAUUAAUAAAGUUAAUAGCAUCAACACUAUUGAAUCUUCCAUUAGUGUAGACAAAGAAAGUUUUCAUAGACCAGAGCAAUAAAUGAAAUGAGUACCUAUUCCGUAAUGAUAUAAACAUAAAUUAAUUUCAUAUUGUUGCAUAAUGGAUGUAAGUAAUGUUAGUUCAUUAAUUCUUUUCCUUCUUCAUCUUUAUCAUCAUUUAUUCAAUAAAAAACAACCUUUUUCCAUCAACCAAAUAGAUGAGAUGGCAUGGAAAAGUGGUCAUACAAGUCAACUCUAUAAGCUAACAAAUCUUAGGUUUAAUUUAAAAAUAAGAUUAAUUAUCAUGGGUUGAUUUCACAUGAAUCAUAUGAGCUAACAUCAAAAUUGUAGAAAAUGAAGAAGACAUUUGCUGGAAACUUAAAGGAUGAAGAAAAAAAUAUGGCUAUGACAUUUGGAUCUAUGAAUGUUAUAUGAGUUAUAGAUUGUAUCAACAAGGUGACUCAUCUUAAGUUUAACUUAAUCUCCAAAACAUUCAUGCACUUAUUUGACGUGACAAUUGAACAAAUCCCAUAUUAAUUUUCAAUCAUAUGAAUUGACACUCAAAUAAUAGAAAACAAAUGAAAUGUUCUUUUCAAUUUUAAUUUAAAUUCAUUUUUGCUACUUAUAGUUUUUUUUUUAAUUGAAUUUGAAAAAAAAAAAAAAAAGUAGUAAAAAUCCAUUUUCAAGGUAAAGGAUGCACUCCAUGUCUUGAAGAAAAUGUUUUUAAGAGCAUAAUGCACUUUGAACAUGAAAUAAGGUAAAUUUGAUGGAAUCUACCAUUCAAGAUGUACAAGAAAUGAAUUACUUAAAAGAAAAUAAUAGUUGUAUUUACUUAGAUGAAGUUAAUGAAAAUGACAUGACAUAAGCUCACAGGUAGUAAAACAUUAAGAAGACCAUUGCUUGGCAUUUUGUUCAACUAAUGGUUUCAAACCAUAACACAUUCACUAUUGAAAAAUGGAUUUCAUACUUUUAUUUUCCUAAAUAUGAUAUAGUUACUAAUCACUAAGUAUCUUAAAGAUAUAAACCAAAAACUCUCACAUGGAAUAUGAAUAAAGGGUAUCAAUGCAACCAUCCUUCUUCAACAUAAGAGGUUGUUCUCCAAAAAAGGAGUCUCCAUUGGGAUAGUUAUGGUAAGUAGAACUACUUCUAUUUUUCUUUAUAAUCCUUAUCACAUAAUUCAGAAUCUCCUCACUUCAUAAACAAACAUAUUCUCCAAAGAAAAGUUAUUCCUCUUAUAGUUUGGUGACAAAACUAUUUCCCUUAUGGAAAUUCCUAAAGUUAUAUGAGCAACAUAAUAUUUGAAUUCCAAAAAGUGUCACAUAUAUAAUUAAUAAAACAUGAAAAAAUCUUAUGUAAGGAACUAUUAUAAUAAAUCAUUAUUGUGUUCAAUUCAUUCAUAUUAUAUUUCGACUUUAUGACAUCGAGAGAACUAAAAAAAAACAAAUAUAUGUAUAUAUAUAUAUAAGCAUUAGUUCUUGUAAAGACUACUUGUAAAGAAAAUCAAAGCACAAAAAUGAAAAAUGUAAGUGUAAGGAAAACAAUGACAAUUAUAAGGAGUAUUAGUUACCUAAUUAUAAAGCAUAAUAGUGCGAGGACGAAAUUUGGAUUUACUAAAAUUGUAUUUUCUGUAUACAUCACAUGAAUAAUAGAUUAGCCACUCAAAACAAUGAGAUGAGAAGUUAGUCUUUCAAUUUAGUAUACAUUUUCAAAAUAAGAAAAGUAAGCAAGAUUUGAAAAAAGAAAAAGGAUAUCUGUGUAGGCCUAUCUUACAAAGGAAGAUUGGAAGUAUAUGAUACCAAAUUUUCACAAGGCUACUAACUAUUUAUAUGUUGAUUAAGCUCAAACUAAAAAAAAGGCUAAAAUAUAGACUAGAGCUUCUAACUAUGUAAAUCAAGUUGAAAAAAAUAUUUAGACACUCAACCCAAUUAAAGGGAAGUAAUUUUAAAAAUGUCUAGAAUCUUGCAUGGUCGAUGAUGUGAAGUAGAGAAAUAGUUUAUGAGUACAUGCAAUGUGAAAUAAAAUAAAAUUUGAUUAGAUGAAAGUUGAGUUGGCAUAUAGCAUAAAAAGUACAUUAAGCUAAUCAUUAUAAGAAAAUGAAAAUCAAUUGUGAUGUAGAAUUAUGUCAAGGAAAAGUAAGGAAAUGAUAAAUGAGAUGUGUCGAAAAGAAUGCUUAUAUUUUAAAGAUAUGAUAUUUACCAUUAUCAAAAUCCUAAAAUCAAAUAACAAGGCAUUAUUGAAAAUCACAAUUGGAAAAAAAUGCCAAAUUAUUUGAUGUUGAUUUGCUAUAUCAUUAUAAUGCAUUAAUUAGAGGAGAAAAGAACCAAAUAGUGUUGUAAAGCAUAUUAAUUGACAAACAUAUUGAACCAUAUAGUAGCAAUAAUCCCUUGAAUAGUUUCAUAGAUUAAAAAAAUGAUAGAGGAAAGAGUGUCAAAACUUAGUAUCUUCAUAUGUUAUGUAUUCCCCGCCCCCCGCCCCCCUCCCCUUUUCUACCUUUAAGCAAGUCAUAGUAUGUAAUUUCAAACAAAGGCACAUGUACAUAUCUAAUUCCAUGUUUCCCUUCCUUUCUUACAUGAAAUAACAAAAAUUUUGAUGCAUAAUAACAACACUACCCAAGUUAGUGAAUAAAAGAGAGAUAUCCACCUUUAUGAAAAAUCCUUGGGCAUCAUUAACAACAACAUAGUAGGGUCCCUUCAUCUAAGCAUAUCUUGCAACUAAAGUCUUUAUCACUAACCAAAUGUUCCAUGCCACCUAGAAGAGAUACUUAGAUAUGAUGAAGUGAAACUCAUCAAUUCAGUAAAUAUGCGCCUAAUUGCCCAAACAAAAGAAGUUCAAGCGAGAAUGAAACAUAAUAAAUAAAAGAAUAAUCUAAAAAAUUGAAAAUUUUAAAAUAAGAGAAGCUAUCUAUAAUUACCUUUUUUGAAAACUUCAUGCAUUAAGGACAUUGCCUCAUCAAAAUAGAUUUACACCCUCUAUUUGAACAAGAUUCCAUUCAAGUGAUUAAUGUGGAUAUCCUAAAAAAAGAUACGUAAUACAAUUAUACUAUAGAUUCCUUUAUCAUACUAAUAUAGUUUUAUUCAUAUUUUAUUUUGUUGUUUCUUAUUAUCCAUUUUUUAAAAUUUUGUACUCCAUAUGCAUUAUAAUUAAUGCUGUUAUAAUUUUCAAAAAAAUAACAAUAAAAAUUAAUUGAUCCAACAAAAUUUCAUGGUAAAAAAACAUUAAUCUUUGAUUUCUUAUGUUUAUUUAUAUAAAACUGUCUUUCUCUUGUUUAUGCUAAAAAUGUAAGUUAUUCUUCCUAAGCAUGGGUGUUGUAUCCCAUAGAUUAUGAUUGUUAGAUUUAUGGGAACGUGUUUCUCAAUAGUUAUUUCUUAAUAUUGAUUCAUGUAGUCAACUAUUUGGUACCUCUCAAAGCUCAAGAACUACCCUACUUUCAUUACCUUUAUGAUAUCUAUUCUACAUAUUUCGGCUGUUGUUAAGAAACUAGAAAGAAGUUUUAAAAUUAUUCAAAUUUGUUUAAACAAUACUAAUAAAAUUUAAAUAAUUAAAUGAGUAAAAAAUUAUCAUUUGUAAGAUUUUCUACCUCGAUUAAAUCCAUGCUUACUAGUCUUGUAUUAUGUACUUUCCUUUACUUAGUGUGAGUAGACAAGUAGUUGAGCUAGGGAUUUCAUUUCUAGCGAGGUUACUUUUGUAAAAUUUAUUCUACAAGUAAAAUUUGUUACAAAUUUAAAUGAUUGGUUGAGUUAAUUAAUUCUUUUGUUCGUUUUAAUUUAAUAUUUUGUGUAUUCAUAAUAUUUUUGUUUUAAUUUUUUGAGGUUGGAUUAUUGUUGUUGCUUAUCUAUGAACAUUGCAUAUUUUUUUAUAUAGUUGGAUAAGCCCAAUUGGACUAAGGAUAAUACAAGACGCCAAAUCUUUUGAUCCAUGAAAACCCCUAUCAAUCCAUCGAAAAUGGACGACAACAAUGGAGAGACUAAGAAGAACCACCAAUCCCAAAUUGGAACAUCUAGGAGACUAUUUGGAACAACCAAAAGCUAGUGUACCCUCUUGAAUUGUCAUACAUUUCAAUAUCCAAUUCUUCAAUAUUCAAAGGGAAAUGAUCAAAUUAUAAUUGCAUGUCAAAAUACAAUAUAGGUGUCUUCUAAAUAAAAAUUUCCAUUCACAUUUAAGGUUAAGGGGAAGUUGGGGCUCCAUAAUCUUAAAUGUUCAACUAUAUAAAUGUUAGUUGAGGUACAAAUGAUGUCCUUUAAAAGAUACAUUCCAUUCAAAUGUAUAAUGACUUUCAGAAAUAAAUUUAUGAUAUUGACUUCAAUGAUAACACGUCAUGACAUGAUUAAAAGGAAUGAUAUUAGGAAUUGAUCAGUCUAUACCUCAAUCAUAGAUUUGAACCAUGGUACACGGUAAACUUCUUUUAGAAUGGGUUAACUUGAAAAACACAUAAUUUUUUUGAAACAUGUGUGAUUACUACUCAAAAAGUGCUAUUUUGUAGCUUGUAAUUAACUCUUUUAAACACUCUUGAGUAGUAAUUAUUAUCUUUUAACUCAAUUGACAUGUUAAGGACCCUUGCAAUCAUUUCUAAUCAAAUUGUGUUAAGUUUUGGUGUUUUUUUUAUAGUUUUUAGCUACACCAAAGCAAUCCAAGAAUGAGGGAGAGUUGUAUAUAGUUCAUGGCAAAGAUUUUGGAAGCUCAAAUUCAUGAAGAACCAAGCUUUGGAGCUCCAUAGCCCUUUGCCAAAGUUGUUCAAAAUAUGCAAGGAAAGAACAACAAAGAGAGGAAAAACAGAGUGAAGAAAACAGAGGACAGCAGCUGCAGUCUUCUUGCACACUUUUGGAGCACUUCCCGAAGUCCAUUUUCUACAUGCUAUAUACCAUUUCAAAGCUCAGGAAGUCAAAAAUCCAAUGCUUUAAAUGGUGCAUGAUUCAGAGUUCAAAUGAAGGAUUUACAGCCAUUGGAAGCCAAUCACUUCAAGUUGAAGGAAGAAUUUUGCACGGCUGCGAAAUCACCCUUUUGCUGCGAAAUGAUUUCGCAGCCAUUUUGCACAGUGCUGUGGAAUUCCUCCUGAAGUUUCCCGAUAUUUGUGACACGUUGGAAGCCGAACACCACAAGCUGAAAGCCAACUUCGCAGCCGCUGCGAAAUCAGCCUUUCGCUGCGAAGUGAUUUCGCAGCCCUUUUUGUGCGUCUGCGAAAUCUCGCAGACCUCGUUUUCACCUGCAAAUUGGUCCUUAAUGCUUCCCGAUAUUUGCGACCGACACAUUGGGAUAUUUUGCUUCAGAUUUUUUAUGUCUAAAUCCCCAUUCUCUCCUUAUAAGCCACCAAUUAUAGGAUUCCUUAGUUAUUAAGUUGGGAAAAGGGGUGAAUAACCUCAGAUAUUUUGUUUUGUAAUUUUCUUUAUAUAUAGCUCUCGAGAGCUUGUUCUCAGAUAGAAUCAUGUAAUCCAACGGUAUAUAGAUAUAUAAAUAUAUAGAAUAUACAGAGCCUUGCUCUGUUUUUUCCUUCUCUUUCAUUUUCAUUUUCUUGCUAACCAAACUCUGAGGAUUUUUCCUUAGAGGAUGAGAGGCUAGGCUCUUCGUCUCUUGGAGUGAGGAAAGCCGGGUAAGUUUCCCCAUGCAUAAAUUGGAAGUUUUGUUGUUUUAGUUUUUAAUGAAGAGAAAGUGUGACCCAUUAAUGGUUUUUAUCUUUUUAGUUAACUUAAAACGCCUUUAAUUCACCUGAGGCAACACUUGGUAAGGCGAGUGAUCUCCGUCCAUGGAGAUGCACUAGUUUAUCUCUUGCGAGCUUUUGGGAGGUGGUUUGAAGGUAGGAUUUUCUAGAAUAGCCAACACUUGGUAAGCUUUUGGACUCCAAGGAGACAUCCAUUAGUUAUCUCUUGCGAGCUUGAGAAGGGAAGUCCAAGGUUAAAGAUCACCUUGAAUGGCAAGUGCUAGGUAAGAGGUAUGAGCCAUUGCAAGGUGCAUCAAUGAGAGGGAUUUAGUGUUUGAACCCAUUAAUGGGAAGCAUAUGUACAACACCGGUUAGAGAAUUAACUAUAUGUUAAUUCUCUAAUGCGAUGAAAAGAAACAAGUGACCGGAACUCUCCUUUUUGUAUGAGGAAUCUGAGCCUAGUGAUUUGAAACUCCAAGAAACAUUUUUCUUUGUAAGUAAAAUCAGUUACUAUUUAUGGUUAGUUUAAAACCAAACUUUUUCCUUCAAACAUCUUUAUGUUUUCUUUUAAAGCUAACCUUGAAAUGAAAAGGCACCAAUUCAACUUUGAAUUAAUAUCAUUUGCAAAGUGAAAACCCAUCCCAGUGAACGAUCCUAGAGCCACUAUGCUAUAGUAGCUUUGUCUUUGCUACCCUAGUAAAUGGUGUAAUAGGUUAUAAAUUUUGUUGAUUACUCCCUCAAUCAAGGAGCACUAGCUGGACACGAAUCAGUUGAGACACCAAUUGGGCACGAAUCAAUGUGCAAUGAAGAGUUUGUGAACAAUGACCCUAAAGAAGCCUAUUACUUCUUUUUGUAGUUGGAUGAAAGUUUCAAAGCCUAGGUUUCUCAUUCAGCUUAGUAUAUAUGAAUGACCAAACAAGUAGUAGUUUAUGGCUUGGGUGGAUAUUUGUUUAAGCUAAGGAAAUUGUUGUUAUUUACCCUUAUUGUGUUUGAAAAAAAAAACUAUAGAGGCAAUUAAGUUGAAAAAUGAAAUUUGAAAUGAAAAGUUUCACUCCUACUAUUAAAAGAGUUACAUGUGUCCUUUGUGAUAACACUUCAUACAUGCCCCAUUUCACCCCCACAACCUUGGAUUCAAGGAAGGCAUUAAUAUUGAAGACAUUAAUAUUGUAGGCAUUCAAAAUGUCUUCUUAGAACUCUCCUUUCAAAGAAAUGUAUUCAAGGGGAAAAUCAACACAAGUUAAAUUGAAUGAAGAGUGAAAAAAGAAGUACAAAACAAAUUGCUUCUCCACCAUAUUUCCAAUGGCGGUAGAUGUCAUCAAGCUCUAUCAUAAAUUGCAUAAUAGGUUAAGUAGAUGGAUGAUCCAACAUUGGUCUUUUAGUUUCUAUUCAACUUCAAACUGAGGAAAUCCUCAUGAGAAGGUUAGCUAGUUUUGUAUUGUAUUUCUAAUAUAUAUGCAUGAGAACCCAAGCUGUCAAUCCCAUGUCUUGUUAGUUGUAUAAGAAAAUUUAUAGGUGAUUAUAGAGCCAAGUGGACGAAGGAAAAAAAUGGACAACCUAAAACAACAUUGAAGAAUGAAAGUCACAUAUGCUUGAAUGACUAUAACACUUGUUCACCCUACUUAUACUAAUUUUAGUAAAAAUACUUUUUAUUUGAAUAUAUUUAUGUGCAAGGAACUUAUAGACUCAAUUGCCACUAAUAGUUUAUGGCACAUUCCUAGGCACUUGUAGCUUGGGUGAGUAGCAAAAAAAUGGUACUUAGCAAGGUUGCUCCCAUGAAUCCUAAGGAACCAUGAAUUAAAUAACUUGAGUUCUAUGACACAUUCUUUGCCCAAAAGCACAUAUCACAUAUAAAUAAAUGGUGAAGUGCAUACCUCACAAAUGCAACCAAUAUAAUUUCAUUUUGCCUCUCAAGAAUAGUUUUGUAAAAGCCUUCGAAACUUAUUCUUGGGGAAUUUGACCUAAGAAAAAUGAGGUACAAGUGAUAAGGUUAGUAUAUAAAAAUUAAAAUUAGAAUAAAACAUGUUGAAAAGAGACCAUAGGUUUCAUAUUUGUGGAGAAAAAUGGUAAAAACUACUCGUAGAAUGCUAGUUGAAAGACAUGAUUAGUUGUGCUUAGCCAUAGUUGUAAACCACACUUCGAACCACAUUGAUUUGAGUGUGAAUCACUGGUUCAAAGCAUCCUUCCAUCACUAUUGCAUUCUUGUAGUUGCAUACGUUCUGUUAUAUAGCUCUUCCACUUGGAGAAAUAAUUCAUUAUUAUCAAGCAUAAGUAGAGAAAGCCCACAAUCUUUUAUACAACUAUAAAAAAGUUGUAUUCAAUAUAAUCUCAACUUUCCAUUGUACUAAGCAAAAAUUAUAAAAGAUAAUCAAUAAACCUCAUUUUACACAUCAUCAUCCAAUUUUCUUGACUUUUUGGGUGAAAAAUGAUUCAUUUGGAAACUUUAUGAAAGAAGUUUUAACAUUUUUCUUAAGGAGCCAAAGAGACAAAAUCUAACAAAAUCCUAAUAAAGAGAAGGUCUAUCCAAAUAUGAAUCUCCUGAAAAUGUUGAUUAAUAAGGUACAUAGUAUAUAACUUGAAAUUAAAUAAGUUAGAUUACAAGUGUGCUUGCAUAUGCCAUAAGAAUAUCAUGUUCCAAAUAGGCAAGAUUCUUUCUUUUGGACAUUUUAUGGUGAUUGAUUUAAUUCCAUCAUUUCAAUAUACUAUCAUUACUAAAAAUAUUUAUAAGGAUGUCAUCCCUCUAACUCCACCAUGGCUUAUAUUUUCAUACAUGUAAAUAGAUGCAUUGAUUCAUUAUAAUAUAAAUAACAAGUUAAUGUCAAUUAAUCUAACACUAUACAGGUUAAUUUUCUCAAAUGCAAAAGUAGUUAGACCAAUGGCCACACCAUUACUCUCUAAAAUUUAAAAAUGCACAUUGAACAAAAGAAACUAUUUAUAAAUAUCAUUAUUUUCAUCAUAAAUAAGAUAUGCACUACAAAAAUUCUUUUUUCUUCCAAACAACUUACGAAAGAUAAUUGAAUAAAAAAAACAGCAUUUUAUAAUUUUAUAGUUUGGUUUAAUGUAUGUCCCUAAAUAAUAUGUAAAGACUUUCACCACAUAUUUUGAGAAUGGAAAAUGAAAAAACCAUACCUAUUUCUGACUCCACUCAUGCCAUUGUAUUUACAAACCAUGAGAA